rnacentral:rRNA from 1 species
CUUGAACGCUGGCGGCAGGCUUAACACAUGCAAGUCGAGCGAGCGGCGGAAGGGUGAGUAAUGUCUGGGAAACUGCCUGAUGGAGGGGGAUAACUACUGGAAACGGUAGCUAAUACCGCAUACCAUCAGAUGUGCCCAGAUGGGAUUAGCUAGGAGGUGGGGGAAUGGCUCACCUAGGCGACGCUCCCUAGCUGGUCUGAGAGGAUGACCGUCCACAGUGGAAUUGAGACAAGGUCAAGAUUCCUACGGGAGGCAGCAGUGGUGAAUAUUGAACAAGGGGCGCAAGCCUGAUGCAGCCAUGCCGCUUGUGGGAAGAAGGCCUUCGGGUUGUAAAGCACUUUCAGCGAGGAGGCGUUACUCGCAGAAGAAGCACCGGCUAACUCCGUGCCAGCAGCCGCGGUAAUAC